rnacentral:rRNA from 1 species
AACGAACGCUGGUGGCGUGCUUAACACAUGCAAGUCGAACGAGAACGUUUCCUUCGGGAAAUUAGUAAAGUGGCGCAAGGGUGAGUAACACGUGAAUAAUCUGCCCUCGAGAUCGGGAUAACAUGGUGAAAACUAUGCUAAUACCGGAUAAGACCACGUUUCGUAAGAAACGCGGGAAAAGAAGUCUCAAACUUCACUCGGGAUGAGUUCGCGCAACAUUAGCUUGUUGGUGAGAUAAAAAGCUCACCAAAGGCUACGAUGUUUAGCCGGCCUGAGAGGGUGAACGGCCACACUGGAACUGAGACACGGUCCAGACUCCUACGGGGAGGCAGCAGGUGGGGAAUAUUGCGCAAUGGGCGAAAGCCUGACGCAGCAACGCCGUGUGAGCGAUG